UACGUAGGGGGCGAGCGUUGUCCGGAUUUAUUGGGCGUAAAGAGCGUGUAGGCGGCCAGGUAGGUCUGCUGUGAAAACUCGAGGCUCAACCUCGAGACGUCGGCGGAAACCAUCUGGCUAGAGUCCGGAAGAGGAGAGUGGAAUUCCUGGUGUAGCGGUGAAAUGCGCAGAUAUCAGGAAGAACACCCGUGGCGAAGGCGGCUCUCUGGGACGGUACUGACGCUGAUGCGCGAAAGCCAGGGGAGCAAACGGG
rnacentral:rRNA from 1 species